rnacentral:rRNA from 1 species
CUUAGUGGCGGACGGGUGAGUAACGCGUGGGUAACCUGCCUUAUACAGGGGGAUAACACUUAGAAAUAGGUGCUAAUACUGCAUAAGCGCACGGGGCUGCAUGGCCCAGUGUGAAAAACUCCGGUGGUAUAAGAUGGACCCGCGUCUGAUUAGCUUGUUGGCGGGGUAACGGCCCACCAAGGCGACGAUCAGUAGCCGGCCUGAGAGGGUGGACGGCCACACUGGGACUGAGACACGGCCCAGACUCCUACGGAAGGCAGCAG